rnacentral:tRNA from 1 species
GCCGAAAUAGCUCAAUUGGUAGAGCAAUCCCUUCGUAAGGGAGAGGUUGUCGGUUCAAGUCCGAUUUUCGGCU